UACAGAGGGUGCAAGCGUUAAUCGGAAUUACUGGGCGUAAAGCGUGCGUAGGCGGUUACAUAAGUCGGGUGUGAAAGCCCCGGGCUCAACCUGGGAAUUGCAUUCGAGACUGCGUAGCUAGGGUGCGGAAGAGGGAAGCGGAAUUUCCGGUGUAGCGGUGAAAUGCGUAGAUAUCGGAAGGAACACCAGGGGCGAAAGCGGCUUCCUGGUCCAGCACCGUCGUUCAGGCCCGAAAGCGUGGGGAGCAAACAGG
rnacentral:rRNA from 1 species